GUAAACUACAGAAAAAUAUUAAUUUAGAAGCACAUAGGUCUGAAUUUGGUUUAGUGUUGCUUCUUGGUUGCACGUCUUGACUGUGAAGUCACGGGGUCGGCACUUCUUCUGAACUUCUAUUGUUUGGUAUGGCUUUAGACUGCCUUCUUUUGGCAAUUUCUGGGGAUUCCCAGACUAGGCCUUUGUGGGAUUCUCUGUAUGCUUGAUGAGUUUUGUGUUGUUCCAUAGUGCUUCCAUGUUGGAUGUGUAGCACUCCUCUGCUAGUCCCAUGGACAUCUUCCCCUCUUUUGUCUCUUUUGUGUUCAUGGAUUCUUUCAGCCAGCAUGCGUCCCGUGGGGCCGAUGUGUUUCUUUUCUUGGCCUGUGCUUUUGUCUCUUGCCAGGAUGCUGUGCACUCCUGACUUGCAGGGGGGGGUCCCCAAGUGGAGUCUGCUGAUUUUGAUGAGGCUUGAUGGGGUUGUGGGGUGG
rnacentral:lncRNA from 1 species